GACGAACGCUGGCGGCGUGCCUAAUACAUGCAAGUAGAACGCACAGUUUAUACCGUAGCUUGCUACACCAUAGACUGUGAGUUGCGAACGGGUGAGUAGCGCGUAGGUAACCUGCCUGGUAGCGGGGGAUAACUAUUGGAAACGAUAGCUAAUACCGCAUAAUAUUAAUUAUUGCAUGAUAAUUAAUUGAAAGGUGCAAUUGCACCACUACCAGAUGGACCUGCGUUGUAUUAGCUAGUAGGUGAGGUAACGGCUCACCUAGGCGACGAUACAUAGCCGACCUGAGAGGGUGAUCGGCCACACUGGGACUGAGACACGGCCCAGACUCCUACGGGAGGCAGCAGUAGGGAAUCUUCGGCAAUGGACGAAAGUCUGACCGAGCAACGCCGCGUGAGUGAAGAAGGUUUUCGGAUCGUAAAGCUCUGUUGUAAGAGAAGAACGGGUGUGAGAGUGGAAAGUUCACACUGUGACGGUAUCUGACCAGAAAGGGACGGCUAACUACGUG
rnacentral:rRNA from 1 species